UACAGAGGUCUCAAGCGUUUGUUCGGAUUCAUUGGGCGUAAAGGGUGCGUAGGUGGUGCUGUAAGUCAGGUGUGAAAUCUCGGGGCUCAACCCCCGAAAACUGCACUUGAUACUGCAGUGCUCGAGGACUGGAGAGGAGAUUGGAAAUUCAUGGUGUAGCAGUGAAAAUGCGUAGAUAUCAUGAGGAAGACCAGUGGCGAAGGCGGAUCUCUGGACAGUUCCUGACACUGAGGCACGAAGGCCAGGGGGAGCAAAACGGGG
rnacentral:rRNA from 1 species